ensembl:lncRNA
GAUUUAACAGAGUAUAUUUAUGAGAAUAACAGUACUGACAUGCAAAACAUGUUCUAUUCUUUCUGAGGAAAUAUAGAACAUUAUUUCAGUAGGUACAUCAUGAAAUAUACAAGCAGCAUUACUGAUAGCCUAGCAAACUGAGCCACCAGGGAAGCCCUCUAGCAAAAUUAUUAAAAUGGAAAAUAACUCUGGCUUUAGUCAUUUUUCUUAGAAAAUAGAUGCUUCACUUUUUUUUUUAAUGAGAUAUCUUGACAAGGGGGGAAAAGCCCAUUUUACUGCCAAAAUGAAUCGUGUCACUCAGUCACAUAACACCUUUCCUGCUGCUGCUGCUGCUGCUGCUGCUAAGUCGCUUCAGUCGUGUCCGACUCUGUGCGACCCCAUACACGGCCUCCCACCAGGCUCCCCCGUCCCUGGGAUUCUCCAGGCGAGAACACUGGAGUGGGUUGCCAUUUCCUUCUCCAAUGCAUGAAAGUGAAAAGUGAAAAUGAAGUCGCUCAGUCGUGUCCGACUCUUAGCGACGUCAUGGACUGCAGCCCACCAGGCUCCUCCAUCCAUGGGAUUGUCCAGGCAAGAGUACUGGGGUGGGGUGCCACCGCCUUCUCCGACACCUCUCCUACGUACACACAAACACAAUCUUCAGACACCUUUCUUUGAUUUCAAAAUGGAGGGGGGCGGGGCAGGCAGUUCUUCAGUUGUCUUUAGAGCUUCAAUUAAGGCAUCACGAUAUAGUGCAGUAAUUCUCGAAAAUUCAGCAGACGUUAGGACUAAUGGAAGAUUUGUUCCAAUGUAGAGAGCUGAACUUCAUCCCUAGAAUUUCUGCUGCUGUAAGUCUGAGUGGGGCUUGACUUUGAACAGUCUGCAGGCAAUACUAAUACUGCGGGUCAAACGCCCCGCCCCCGCCCCAAGCUUCACGGGCUUUGUUGAUAUCAGGUGCACCUGGCGUUGUUGAAAAAGAGCAGGCGCAAGACUCUGUUGCCCAUUUAAGAUGAUUAACACCCUGCGAACCUCACGCGAGACCUGAGUUCCUAGGUUGAAACCCCAAGCUCUUUCCCACUUGCUUGUGAGCAGACUAUCCAUCUCGGGAGUUACUGGAUGAAGGAUGUGCAGGUAGCCCUUUUAUUCAUCUUUGCCUUGAAAGUCUGGAGUAUUGAAAGAUCCUGGUCUUUGAAGCCUUCCUCCAGCACUUACCUGCUGUGUUAACUUGAAGCAAUUCCUUAACUUCUCUGAACUUCAGUUCUCAUUACGGAUGUAACAGUUUCUGCCUCACACGAAAAAAACAAGCAGUUAUGUGUACAAGGCACUGUGAUGUCUCAGAUGAUUUGUAAGAACUGGCUGAAGAAGCUGGUGUCCAAGGCUGUGGACACAGUCUGUCUUCAGAUGCUGAAGGAGUAAGAGCCAAGUAUUGCUGGCAGCCUCAAGAAGCUAGAAAAGGCAAGACCAUGGAUUCCCCCCAGAGUUUCCAGAAAGGAAAACAGCCCUGCUGACUCUUUGAUUUUAGCCCUGUGAGAACUGUGUCAGCUUUCCAACCUUCAUAAUUGUAAUAUAAUAAAUGUAUGCUGUUUAAUAAAUGUAAGAUAAUAAAUGUGUGCUGUUUUAAAGCCACUGGAUUUGUUGUAUUUGUUAUACCAGCUCUAGAAAACUCAUGAACUGACAGAAAACUAAUAUAAGAUGUAAAGAUCCUAAUGAAGGGCCAGGUGCACAAAGAAUUAUCAGUAAAACAAAUACAUGUUAGUCAUACAGAGUAGACAGGGAAAAGAAAGACUGAAUACUCUAAAAUUUUCAUAUGUAGCAAUUUUGUCCAGGGUUGACCCUGUGUAUGUCAUCAACAGCCUGUUCUGAAAAUCACAAUGAGAUUCACAAAGUUGGUUUUAGAACCUAAAGGGAUUCUUUCUCUUCUUUGUUUGAACCAGGGUUGUCAUGUCUAAGUAUAUCCCCAAUAGUCAUUCUGUCUGAAAGCACUUAAAAUACUGUGUUAUUCCAAAAUAUGUGUAUGUACAUUUAUAUAUUAUAUAUAUAUAUUUAUGUACACUAAUAUAAAUGUCUGGAGCUGAUGUGGCUCAGAUGGUAAAACAU